AUUGAACGCUGGCGGCAGGCCUAACACAUGCAAGUCGAGCGGAGCGGCGGACGGGUGAGUAAUGCCUAGGAAUCUGCCUGUUCGUGGGGGAUACCUUCCGGAACCGGGCGCUAAUACCGCAUCCUUUCAGUUGACCCUAGGUCGGAUUCGCUAUUUGGGGGGGUAAAGGCCGACCAAGGCGACGAUCCGUAACUGGUCUGAGAGGAUGAUCAGUAAAACUGGAACUGAGAAACGGUCCAGACUCCUACGGGAGGCAGCAGUGGGGAAUAUUGGACAAUGGGCGAAAGCCUGAUCCAGCCAUGCCGCGUGUGUGAAGAAGGUCUUCGGAUUGUAAAGCACUUUAAGUUGGGAGGCGUUACCAACAGAAUAAGCACCGGCUAACUUCGUGCCAGCAGCCGCGGUAAUAC
rnacentral:rRNA from 1 species